rnacentral:rRNA from 1 species
GGGUUGUGAGGUUAAGCGACCAAGCGUACACGGUGGAUGCCCUGGCAGUCAGAGGCGAUGAAGGACGUGCUAAUCUGCGAUAAGCGCCGGUAAGGUGAUAUGAACCGUUAUAACCGGCGAUUUCCGAAUGGGGAAACCCAGUGUGACUCGUCACACUAUCAUUAACUGAAUCCAUAGGUUAAUGAAGCGAACCGGGGGAACUGAAACAUCUAAGUACCCCGAGGAAAAGAAAUCAACCGAGAUUCCCCCAGUAGCGGCGAGCGAACGGGGAGGAGCCCAGAGCCUGAAUCAGCAUGUGUGUUAGUGGAAGCGUCUGGAAAGGCGCGCGAUACAGGGUGACAGCCCCGUACACAAAAGCGCACAUGUUGUGAGCUCGAUGAGUAGGGCGGGACACGUGGUAUCCUGUCUGAAUAUGGGGGGACCAUCCUCCAAGGCUAAAUACUCCUGACUGACCGAUAGUGAACCAGUACCGUGAGGGAAAGGCGAAAAGAACCCCGGCGAGGGGAGUGAAACAGAACCUGAAACCGUGUACGUACAAGCAGUGGGAGCACAGGUUUACCUGUGUGACUGCGUACCUUUUGUAUAAUGGGUCAGCGACUUAUAUUCUGUAGCAAGGUUAACCGUAUAGGGGAGCCGAAGGGAAACCGAGUCUUAACCGGGCGUUAAGUUGCAGGGUAUAGACCCGAAACCCGGUGAUCUAGCCAUGGGCAGGUUGAAGGUUGGGUAACACUAACUGGAGGACCGAACCGACUAAUGUUGAAAAAUUAGCGGAUGACCUGUGGCUGGGGGUGAAAGGCCAAUCAAACCGGGAGAUAGCUGGUUCUCCCCGAAAGCUAUUUAGGUAGCGCCUCGUGAAUUCAUCUCCGGGGGUAGAGCACUGUUUCGGCUAGGGGGUCAUCCCGACUUACCAACCCGAUGCAAACUGCGAAUACCGGAGAAUGUUAUCACGGGAGACACACGGCGGGUGCUAACGUCCGUCGUGAAGAGGGAAACAACCCAGACCGCCAGCUAAGGUCCCAAAGUCAUGGUUAAGUGGGAAACGAUGUGGGAAGGCCCAGACAGCCAGGAUGUUGGCUUAGAAGCAGCCAUCAUUUAAAGAAAGCGUAAUAGCUCACUGGUCGAGUCGGCCUGCGCGGAAGAUGUAACGGGGCUAAACCAUGCACCGAAGCUGCGGCAGCGAACGUAUCACUUAAAACGAUUCAGAAGCUUACGAUUGACGGAGCGAAGCGACGUCAAAGCGUAUACAAAGUCGAGUCGGUUUAAGGAUACGUUCGUUGGGUAGGGGAGCGUUCUGUAAGCCUGUGAAGGUGGCCUGUGAGGGUUGCUGGAGGUAUCAGAAGUGCGAAUGCUGACAUAAGUAACGAUAAAGCGGGUGAAAAGCCCGCUCGCCGGAAGACCAAGGGUUCCUGUCCAACGUUAAUCGGGGCAGGGUGAGUCGACCCCUAAGGCGAGGCCGAAAGGCGUAGUCGAUGGGAAACGGGUUAAUAUUCCCGUACUUGGUGUUACUGCGAAGGGGGGACGGAGAAGGCUAUGUUGGCCGGGCGACGGUUGUCCCGGUUUAAGCAUGUAGGCGGAUGUUCCAGGUAAAUCCGGAACGUUACUAACGCUGAGGUGUGAUGACGAGGCACCACGGUGCUGAAGCAACAAAUGCCCUGCUUCCAGGAAAAGCCUCUAAGCAUCAGGUAACAUCAAAUCGUACCCCAAACCGACACAGGUGGUCAGGUAGAGAAUACCAAGGCGCUUGAGAGAACUCGGGUGAAGGAACUAGGCAAAAUGGUGCCGUAACUUCGGGAGAAGGCACGCUGACACGUAGGUGAAGUGGUUUACCCAUGGAGCUGAAGUCAGUCGAAGAUACCAGCUGGCUGCAACUGUUUAUUAAAAACACAGCACUGUGCAAACACGAAAGUGGACGUAUACGGUGUGACGCCUGCCCGGUGCCGGAAGGUUAAUUGAUGGGGUCAGCGCAAGCGAAGCUCCUGAUCGAAGCCCCGGUAAACGGCGGCCGUAACUAUAACGGUCCUAAGGUAGCGAAAUUCCUUGUCGGGUAAGUUCCGACCUGCACGAAUGGCGUAAUGAUGGCCAGGCUGUCUCCACCCGAGACUCAGUGAAAUUGAACUCGCUGUGAAGAUGCAGUGUACCCGCGGCAAGACGGAAAGACCCCGUGAACCUUUACUAUAGCUUGACACUGAACAUUGAGCCUUGAUGUGUAGGAUAGGUGGGAGGCUUUGAAGCGUGGACGCCAGUCUGCGUGGAGCCAACCUUGAAAUACCACCCUUUAAUGUUUGAUGUUCUAACGUGGACCCGUAAUCCGGGUUGCGGACAGUGUCUGGUGGGUAGUUUGACUGGGGCGGUCUCCUCCUAAAGAGUAACGGAGGAGCACGAAGGUUGGCUAAUCCUGGUCGGACAUCAGGAGGUUAGUGCAAUGGCAUAAGCCAGCUUGACUGCGAGCGUGACGGCGCGAGCAGGUGCGAAAGCAGGUCAUAGUGAUCCGGUGGUUCUGAAUGGAAGGGCCAUCGCUCAACGGAUAAAAGGUACUCCGGGGAUAACAGGCUGAUACCGCCCAAGAGUUCAUAUCGACGGCGGUGUUUGGCACCUCGAUGUCGGCUCAUCACAUCCUGGGGCUGAAGUAGGUCCCAAGGGUAUGGCUGUUCGCCAUUUAAAGUGGUACGCGAGCUGGGUUUAGAACGUCGUGAGACAGUUCGGUCCCUAUCUGCCGUGGGCGCUGGAAGACUGAGGGGGGCUGCUCCUAGUACGAGAGGACCGGAGUGGACGCAUCACUGGUGUUCGGGUUGUCAUGCCAAUGGCACUGCCCGGUAGCUAAAUGCGGAAGAGAUAAGUGCUGAAAGCAUCUAAGCACGAAACUUGCCCCGAGAUGAGUCUUCCCUGAGACUUUGAGUCUCCUGAAGGAACGUUAAAGACGAUGACGUUGAUAGGCCGGGUGUGUAAGCGCAGCGAUGCGUUGAGCUAACCGGUACUAAUGAACCGUGAGGCUUAACCUUACAACGCCGAAGCUGUU